rnacentral:rRNA from 1 species
CAGCCGCCGCGGUAAGACAUAAGGUGCGAGCGUUAUCCGGAAUCACUGGGCGUAAAGGGCAUCUAGGCGGUUUAUUAAGUCAGAGGUGAAAAGCCGAAGCUCAACUUUGGUCUUGCCUUUGAAACUGAUAGACUAGAAUACGGGAUAGGAGGGCGGAACUACAAGUGUAGAGGUGAAAUUCGUAGAUAUUUGUAGGAAUGCCGAUGACGAAGGUAGCUCUCUGGACCGAUAUUGACGCUGAAGUGCGAAAGCUAGGGUAGCAAACAGGAUUAGAUACCCUGGUAGUCCUAGCUGUAAACGAUGAUUACUGGGUGUGGGGGGUCGAACCUCUGUGCCGAAGCUAACGCGAUAAGUAAUCCGCCUGGGGAGUACGGUCGCAAGACUGAAACUCAAAGGAAUUGACGGGGACCCGCACAAGCGGUGGAGCAUGUGGUUUAAUUCGACGCAACGCGAGGAACCUUACCAGGUCUUGACAUCGUACAAAUCUUUUAGAGAUAGAAGAGUGCCGGCUUGCCGGAAUGUAUAGACAGGUGGUGCAUGGCC